rnacentral:rRNA from 1 species
AAUAUUGCGCAAUGGACGGAAGUCUGACGCAGCGACGCCGCGUGAGCGAUGAAGGCCUUCGGGUCGUAAAGCCCCUUUCUUGGGGAAGAAGGUCAUCGCGCUUGACGGUACCCAAUAAGAAAGCCCCGUCUAACUACGUGCCAGCAGCCGCGGUAAUACGUAGGGGGCGAGCGUUGUCCGGAAUUACUGGGCGUAAAGGGUGCGUAGGCGGCGCUAUAAGUCAGAUGUGAAAGGCCGCGGCUUAACCGUGGGAUUGCAUUUGAAACUGGAGGGCUUGAGUGUCGGAGAGGGUAGUGGAAUUCCCAGUGUAGCGGUGAAAUGCGUAGAUAUUGGGAGGAACACCAGUGGCGAAGGCGACUACCUGGACGAUAACUGACGCUGAGGCACGAAAGCUAGGGGAGCAAAC